GUGUCAGCAGCCGCGGUAAUACGAAGGGGGCUAGCGUUGUUCGGAAUUACUGGGCGUAAAGGGCGCGCAGGCGGCCAUCCAAGUCAGGCGUGAAAGCCCCGGGCUCAACCUGGGAACUGCGCUUGAGACUGAAUGGCUUGAGUUCGGGAGAGGAGAGUGGAAUUCCCAGUGUAGAGGUGAAAUUCGUAGAUAUUGGGAAGAACACCGGUGGCGAAGGCGGCUCUCUGGACCGAUACUGACGCUGAGGCGCGAAAGCGUGGGGAGCAAACAGGAUUAGAUACCCUGGUAGUCC
rnacentral:rRNA from 1 species